rnacentral:misc_RNA from 1 species
GAUGAAGAACGUAGCGAAAUGCGAUACUUGGUGUGAAUUGCAGAAUCCCGUGAACCAUCGAGUCUUUGAACGCAAGUUGCGCCCGAAGCCAUUAGGCCGAGGGCACGCCUGCCUGGGCGUCACACGUCGUUGCCCCCCCAUCAACUCCUUCGGGAUUGCGGGGGGCGGAUGAUGGCCUCCCGUGCGCCUCGCCGCGCGGUUGGCAUAAAUGCCAAGUCCUCGGCGACGCACGCCACGACAAUCGGUGGUUGCGAAACCUCGGUUGCCCGUCGUGUGCGGUCGUCGCGCAUCGAGGGCUCGAAAAAAUUGCCGGGUUCCGGCUCGGCUUUCAACGCGACCCCAGGUCAGGCGGGGUUACCCGCUGAAUUUAAGCAUAUCAAUAAGCGGAGGA